UCUCUCUCUCUCUCUCUCUCUCUCUCUCUCGUGUCUGUGCCCUAGUUUGCUCCCGUCCACCGCAUCCCCUCUCUCUUGCAUCACCGCUCCCGACUGUCGCUUCCCUCUCUCUUGUGGCAAGAGUGCCCGGCAGCCGUUCCUCUCUCUGUUGUGCCCCCAUCCUGGCAGUCGCUCCCCACUGUCGUGUGCCUCCGCUGUCGGCCACCGAUCAUCAUUCUUUCUAUCGUGUGAUGUAGCUCCCGGCCGCCGCUAUCCUUUCUCCUAUGCCCCAACUCCGGGCUGUCACUCCCUUUCUCCUGUGGACUAGCUUUGGGCCACUGCUCUCCUCUCUCUCGUGCCGCCACUCCACACUCUCGUGGCCCAGUCACCGGUCGACGCUCCCUGUCAUUCUCGUCGAGAAUCAGUGUUGUAUACCAUUUCCAACUAUCAGUCAUAUUUCACAUUCAAGAAAGGUGAAGAUUCAUCACCUUCUUAUUUGAAGCCGCUGGUGGUGCCUGAUUUCAUCGUGAUCUUUUCUUGGAUGAUGUGUAUUUCUUGUAUGGUUGCUUUGCAUUCUCUAUAUUUGGCUGUCCUUAUGGGGAUUCGGAGAGCAAGAUGAUUUUAUAAAAAUUCCUUCUUUGAGAUCUCUGUUUGCGGUUCCCCUAUUCAGGGAGACAUAUUUUUAUUAAGGUAGUGUCUAUUAAUCAUUUGUGCUAUGAGACCCAUAUUUAGCUUCUAAGUUCCAAUUCAGUGGUACUUUGAUAUGUAAGAAGCUUUAUAGCUCUGCAUUACAUGUAAUGCAGGUUGUUUCUAUGAAAACAUUUCUUUUUUUUCCUUUGAA